UCGCGAGAAGCAUGCGCAUUGCGCUUUGUGAAGCCCGGACGGCUGACCCCUGCCCCCGGCCUGCCCGGAUCUCUUCUGAGCAUGCGCGAAGCGGGUUGUUCGAAGGCGCGUCUGGGUCCGAAGCGGCGGGGAAGGGGCACGCGGCGGCUGCGCGUGCGCGAUCGGCAGCACAGCGCCUCAGCGAGGGGCGUCGAGGCUUAAAGACAAGUCGAAUAAGGAUGUCAAUAGUCACAGUCCAGCUUGGCCAGUGUGGUAAUCAGAUUGGCCAGGAGGUGUUUAACGCCGUCUGCGCUGAUGUCCGUGGCACACAUGGGUUGUGUUCCAAGAAGGAGAAUGAAUCCUACCGUGAUGCUUGCAAGGAACGCUUUUUCAGGGAGGAGGAAUCUGAAGUGCCUGUUGCCCGAGCUGUGCUUGUUGACAUGGAACCCAAAGUGAUCAGCCAAACCUUAUCAAUAGCUGCCAGGUCUGGCUGCUGGAAAUACGAUGAUCGGUCGCACUUCUGUCAGAAGCAAGGGUCUGGGAACAACUGGGCAAACGGUUAUUCUGUUCACGGGCCUAGACACAAAGAAGCAAUAAUGAAUCUGGUACAAAAAGAAGCAGAGAAAUGUGAUCGUCUCGGUGGAUUUUUCACAAUAAUGAGCAUGGCUGGCGGUACAGGAUCUGGCUUGGGAGCAUUCGUGACCCGGUGUUUAAGAGAUGCUUUUCCAACCUCAUUUAUAUUAAACCAUGUUAUCUGGCCCUACGGCACUGGUGAGGUCAUCGUUCAAAACUACAACUCUGUUUUGACCCUGUCACAUCUGUACCAGUCGUCAGAUGCCCUUCUCGUUCAUGAAAAUGAUGUCAUCCACAAGAUCUGUGCUCAGCUGAUGAAUAUUAAACAGAUCUCCUUCAGGGAUGUGAAUCAAGUCAUUGCACAUCAGUUGGGGAGUGUUUUCCAGCCCAGUUACACAGCAGAAGGUGGCUCACGCUAUAGCAGAAACCCACUAGGAGACUUAAUGGAGACGUUAGUUCCACAUCCCGAAUUCAAGAUGUUGGGCCUUCGUAACAUACCACAGAUGCCUGAAAACUCGCUCGCUUAUAGCACGUUCAGUUGGCCUGGACUCCUCAAACAUUUAAGGCAGAUGCUCAUUGCUAAUGCUCAAAUGGAGGAAGGUAUUGACUGGCAAGUACGACCACCGCGUCCAGGCUUCUCCAUCCCCUCCAGUCAUCCCACAAACAAGCCGCUGCACUUCAAUACUUCCAUUGCCAACCUGGUUAUCCUACGAGGAAAAGAUACGCACAGCGUAGACUUAGGAAGUUUCCGAGAUCCCUCAUUAUACACAUCCUGGCUUAACCCUCAGGACGCUUUUAACGCGUGGAAAACACCAAGAGCGUUUAACAAGUAUGAAAAGUCUGCUUCUUUGGUCAGCAAUAGCCAGUUCCUGCUGAAACCUCUUGACAACAUUGUAGGAAAAGCUUGGAAUAUGUUUGCUUCCAAAGCCUAUAUUCACCAGUACACUAAAUUUGGAAUCGAAGAGGAAGACUUCCUGGACAGCUUCACAGCUCUGGAACAAGUUAUCUCCAGUUACACCCUCCUUUGAGUAUUUUUUAAAUGGCCUGACAUCGAGCUUUCCUGAAAGAACCCAGCGCUGGAAAACUUUCCAUCGCCUUCCCGAAGUACAUAAAUUACUGGACUGUAGCUGUUUUCCAGUCUUGUAACCAGUGUGUGCAUGUGUUAGAAUAGUAAGAACUGAAUCAGAACUGAACAUACUCAUAUGAGCAGACCAGGUACAGAAGCACUAAAAUCCCCCCUGGAGCACCUGUUCUCAAACCAGCUCCGGCACACGACACCUGGAAUUGCAAAUACACUUCUGGACAAGAUUCAAGUAACCACAGGAUUGAAUCUGAAGAAAAUAAGUCCAGUUUCUUUCAGAGACAGAAAAGAAAGGCUGAGCACACAAACCUUUUCAACAUCAGUCAAUGCCACCUUCCUGUGAAAAGGCUUUAGACCGCAGAAGUGCCAUGCAGAUCGGCUGCUAUCCACGUAAGGUAAAAGUGGGCUACAUACAGAUUGAUGUCAUAACUGUGGUCACAACCUCGUGAAAAACCAGGGUAAUGAACACUUCAGAGUAUUUAAUAGAAUUUGCUUACAUCUGAGAUAUCUUUGAGAUAAGUGCAAUACUCCAUAUAGGAAAAAGCAGCUGAAUGGCACUGCCAAGGCCACAAGGACAGCAGGGGAAGGCAGAAUGAGACCUGUGUGGCCUGCUCUGUCACAUUAGCAUUAAAAACCAACCAACCAACCAACCCCCAAACGCCUUAAAUCACGUGUAGUAAACACACAGCCCUUCCCUCGCAGGACCCCACAAGCAGCACCAGCACAGCAGUCACAGAGAAAAGACACGACUUAUGCUUUUUACAAGGACAGAACAGCGGUUUGUGAGGCUGGGGAGAGGGUGCGGCUCACGGGCAGUGAUCAGAACGGGAACAAUACCCUGAGCUGCCACAGCCCAUCUCUCACCUUUCAUCAGGAAGCAGCAGCCAGUUUCCUUAUUACCAGCUGCCUGGGCAACUCAAUUGAGCUUCUUGGGAAACUUAAGAACAAUUAAGCUGGGAGUAACUCCCCUGAAACUCAGAAGAUUCAGCACACUUACUUAUCUGUAUCUGAACAGCUCCUCAAAUGAGGUUUAAAGAACGAUGACCUUUGAUUUAAUGCUAAUGUGGUCAGUGGUCUUUGAAUCAUUCCAUGCAUGAAUAAUAACAAUAAAACGCUCCAGCACACUAAACAGCAGCGUUAAAGGCAAACUAAAACAAAGCUUGGCCCGUUCAACAGGCUCACAUGUUUUACCACAACUGAACAUCACCAGCAGGAAAUAGGCUCGAUGACUGCACAGCUCAACAGCCUCUUCACUUUAAAUUCACCAGAGAAUAAUAGUUGGCUUUUUUGACCAAAAUACCAUUUUGCUGAGUUCCUGCCACACGCCAGUUGCUGGGCUCUUGUCGCUUGUACCUGGAAGGUGAUACAGCCAGACGCCUUUUGGACGUGUGAUGACAAUUUCUGUGCUUGAGCUCCUUUCACUCUUUUGACAAGUGACCCAGGUUGUUUCAGCCUCUGCCAUUCACACCACUACCAAACCAAACUGUUCCGCUGCCUUUUAUGAAAGCUGAGUGGAUGCAUCAAUAAACAAGUGAAACAGAUAAAGAAAUAAA